rnacentral:rRNA from 1 species
GUAGGGGGCUAGCGUUGUCCGGAUUUAUUGGGCGUAAAGAGCGUGUAGGCGGCCGAGUAAGUCCGGUGUGAAAACUCGAGGCUUAACCUCGAGAUGUCAUCGGAAACUAUUCGGCUAGAGUCCGGAAGAGGAGAGUGGAAUUCCUGGUGUAGCGGUGAAAUGCGCAGAUAUCAGGAAGAACACCUAUGGCGAAAGCAGCUCUCUGGGACGGUACUGACGCUGAGACGCGAAAGCGUGGGGAGCGAACAGGAUUAGAUACCCUGGUAGUCCACGCCGUAAACGAUGGGUGCUAGGUGUGGGCGGUGUCGACUCCGUCCGUGCCGAAGCUAACGCAUUAAGCACCCCGCCUGGGGAGUACGGCCGCAAGGCUAAA